rnacentral:rRNA from 1 species
GCAGUCGAGCGAACGGACGAGAGUGCUUGCACUCUCUGAAGUUAGCGGCGGCCGGGUGAGUAACACGUGGGUAACCUACCUAUAAGACUGGGAUAACUUCGGGAAACCGGAGCUAAUACCGGAUAAUAUUUAGCUUCGCAUGAAGCAAUAGUGAAAGACGGUUCUGCUGUCACUUAUAGAUGGACCCGCGGUGUAUUAGCUAGUUGGUGAGGUAACGGCUCACCAAGGCAACGAUACAUAGCCGACCUGAGAGGGUGAUCGGCCACACUGGGACUGAGACACGGCCCAGACUCCUACGGGAGGCAGCAGUAGGGAAUCUUCCGCAAUGGACGAAAGUCUGACGGAGCAACGCCGCGUGAGUGAAGAAGGUUUUCGGAUCGUAAAACUCUGUUGUAAGGGAAGAACAAGUACGUUAGUAACUGAACGUACCUUGACGGUACCUUACCAGAAAGCCACGGCUAACUACGUGCCAGCAGCCGCGGUAAUACGUAGGUGGCAAGCGUUAUCCGGAAUUAUUGGGCGUAAAGCGCGCGUAGGCGGUCUCUUAAGUCUGAUGUGAAAGCCCCCGGCUCAACCGGGGAGGGUCAUUGGAAACUGGGAGACUUGAGUGCAGAAGAGGAGAGUGGAAUUCCAUGUGUAGCGGUGAAAUGCGCAGAGAUAUGGAGGAACACCAGUGGCGAAGGCGGCCCUCUGGUCUGUAACUGACGCUGAGGUGCGAAAGCGUGGGGAUCAAACAGGAUUAGAUACCCUGGUAGUCCACGCCGUAAACGAUGAGUGCUAAGUGUUGGGGGGUUUCCGCCCCUCAGUGCUGCAGCUAACGC